UGAAAGUAAAACACAAGCUCCCUAAUGUGCAUUGCGCACAAAUUAGGCUUCAUUGUCCGUCUCCCAAUACCCAUCUCUGGACUGUUUAUUUGCGGCUAUGGUCUCUGUUUGCACUUCGAAUAUUUAGAGCAUACUGUAAUGUCUUAAGGACAACAGACAUGGGAGGCUCUGUUUCUGAACUUAUAAUCGGAACACAAGAACAACAUAGAGACAAACACACCAGCCUCGUUUCUCUCUACCUUUUCCGAACUCGCCAUAUUAACCCUAUAACUGCUGGUGCAAAAUAAAACAGCAAUUUCAAAACAAUUAUAAAGAGUCUGUGUGCUAACUUUGAUUAUGGUUGCACUUGCACUUAUUGUUUGCACUUCAGACUUCAAUGAGUUCAGUUAGGUCACACACAGCCUCAAUCAGAAGUUCUGAAAGCUCUUAAAUGUACAGUAAGGUCUGAAGAGACUCAUGUGAAAUCAAACAGGAGAAAAGCCAGUCAAUAAAAACCUUUUACAGUG